rnacentral:lncRNA from 1 species
UUAUUGUAUAUUAAUUUUACAACUCACAGGGUGCUGUUUUGAUUUUUUGAGACUCCACAAGACCUUUCACCAGACAGGAGGUGGCUCCAUCCUAGUUUCAGGCUUGAUCAGGAGAAGAAGGUUUGGAUUUUGAGAAUUUUAUCUACAAGUGCUAUUCCUGUUCCCUGAAUAAUAUAAAUGAAUUGAUGUUGCUUGCUAUAGAAUGAGAUAUCUUCUACAGUCAUCAUUUGUAUGGAUAUAGGGAUUUGGAGAAACUGUUAUACAGUUCAGAUAGGCUAUUUUAUAAUAAUCAGACAAAGUGGGAGAAUAGUUGUCAUCAUUGUUUUUCAUCUUUCAUCUUCAAAGAGGACCGGUGAUAUUACAGUUGUGAAUAAAAGACCUCUGCUGGAAAGUAUCAUUAAGGUACUACUUCAAUUCUCAAAGUGGUCUGCAAAUCCCUGGAUUUCCUUUUAGGGUGUCCUCAAGGUCAAAACUACUUUUAUAAUAAUACUAAAAUGUUUAUUUGCCCAUAAAAAUAUUUAUCUCUUUGCCAAUCCCAUAUCUAUAUUGGACUGAACUUUCUAUAAAUACUUCAACUAAAGCAACAUUGAAUGUAGGUAAUAUGAAAUAUGAGGAUCCAGCAAUCAUCUAUUAGACCAAACACUAAAGAGAUUUGCAUAAAUAUGUAAAACAAUGACAUUCUUCUCAUUAAUUUUUGUUUUGGAAAAUGGCUAAUUUAAA